GGAAGUAAAGUCGUAACAAGGUUUCCGUAGGUGAACCUGCGGAAGGAUCAUUACCGAGUUAGGGUCUUCCAGGCCCGACCUCCAACCCUGUGUUUAUAUUACCAUGUUGCUUUGGCGGGCCCGCCUCUAGGGGCCGCCGGAGGCCUUACCGCCUCUGACCAGUGCUCGCCAGGUGCCCCAAUAAAUUAUUUUAAACCGUGUCGUCUGAGUAGAUAUUUAAAUCGUUUUAAAACUUUCAACAACGGAUCUCUUGGUUCUG
rnacentral:misc_RNA from 1 species